rnacentral:tRNA from 1 species
GUAGUUGUGGCCAAGUGGCUAAGGUAAUAGACUACAAAUCCAUUGGAGUCUCCCUGUGUAGGUUCAAAUCCUGCCAACGAUG